AUUCCUACGGGAGGCAGCAGUCGAGAAUCUUCCGCAACGCGCGAAAGCGUGACGGAGCGACGCCGCGUGGGUGAUGAAGGCCUUCGGGUUGUAAAGCCCUGUCAGCUACUAAGAACCGCGGGUGGUGAACAGCCAUCCCGUCUGACAAAGGUAGCAGAGGAAGCACCGGCUAACUACGUGCCAGCAGCCGCGGUAAUACGUAGGGUGCAAACGUUGUUCGGAAUCACUGGGCAUAAAGAGCGCGUAGGCGGUCUUGCAAGUCCUGUGUGAAAGCCCUCGGCUCAACCGAGGAAUUGCACAGGAUACUGCUUGGCUAGAGUACAGGAGGGGAGAGCGGAAUUCCUGGUGGAGCGGUGAAAUGCGUAGAUGUCAGGAGGAACGCCGGUGGCGAAAGCGGCUCUCUGGUCUGUCACUGACGCUGAGGCGCGAAAGCUAGGGGAGCAAACGGGAUUAGAUACCCCGGUAGUCCUAGCCCUAAACGAUGGGUACUAAGUAGAGGAAACUCCGAUGUUUUCUCUGCCGGAGCUAAUGUAUUAAGUACCCCGCCUGGGGAGUAUGGUCGCAAGGCUAAAACUCAAAGGAAUUGACGGAAUCU
rnacentral:rRNA from 1 species